UACGAAGGGGGCUAGCGUUGUUCGGAAUUACUGGGCGUAAAGGGCGCGUAGGCGGUGUGUCAAGUCAGGCGUGAAAGCCCCGGGCUCAACCUGGGAACAGCGCUUGAGACUGGCACGCUCGAGUUCGGGAGAGGAUGGUGGAAUUCCCAGUGUAGAGGUGAAAUUCGUAGAUAUUGAGAAGAACACCGAUGGCGAAGGCAGCCAUCUGGACCGACACUGACGCUGAGGCGCGAAAGCGUGGGGAGCAAACAGG
rnacentral:rRNA from 1 species